GGCCGGCCGGCGGAGGGGCAAGGGGACCCAAAGUUCGCCCUUGUCCUUUCUUUGCCUCGCCGGUCAUCGCUAACCCGCUGGCUGCAGUGAAAGCCUUUUUUUUGUUGUUGCUGUCGCUAGGGUAGGCCUUGCAGCGCAACCUGUCAGCGGUGGUGGUGGUGGUGGUCGGAAUGAAAUGAGAACACGUACAUGCUCAUCCUUGCAUUCGUGUUUAAAAACACCCCACACACACUUUCUCUCAUACACGCACUGUGUGACACAUAUACAAAGAACUACACAUUUUACAGUCGAUCGUGCACGGGCUUUCUGGGAAUCAACAUUCUUUGUCUACAUACGAACGCAGAAUAGUAGCAUAGUUGUUGUGUAAACAGUUAAAUGUAGUGUAUUACCCUGAUAAUAAUUGGCAGUGUUAUAUGCGCCAUACAAUGUGACCCUUCUCCAAGUGACUCGCCUGAAAUGCACCUGCAGGCGUCUGCUGCAAGCGUUUAUGUCAGUUUAAAGAGAUGUCAAUGUUUAAAUGCCAAUGACAGUCUUUAACUGAGGUGCAGUGCAGAUACUUGUUAUGUAUGAUUACUAAUGUUUCUGCUCUCUUGUCUGCCACAUUUAGUUAUGAGUACUUCUUGAAUGGCAGAAGUAUUCUACAUGUUAUAGUUUUCUUCUUUUUGAGUUAUGUUUUGUGCGCUUUUUUUUUAGCUGCAAUUUGCAAGCUUCUGGUGGUAUGAACGGGAGGCAGAUAACUCAAAAUAAAACCCUAGUUGCUGAAUAUUUUGAAAUAUAAACCAAAGAAUGCUCACCAGAACAAGAACAAGAACAUGAAGUUCAAGUCUAUCAAUUGACGUAUUUGGUUGGAGAUUGAACGGCGGGUUUUGGAUUUGCCGAUUUAUUUAUGACUUAUGGGGAAACGUUCAAAUCAAAAUCGAGGACAGUGGCUAGAAAACUGCCAGUGGGAAACUACUAAAGACUUGUGAAAGCUACCAAUCCCGAAUGACCUGUCAGAAGAACAUACCAAUAAAAGAAACAAAACAAGCAACACAUUUUUCUUUAUCUAUUUGGAAGAGAUUUUAUCAGACUUUUGUGCCGCCUGGGGUAAAAUAGUUCUUUUUAAAAAUAGAAGUUUCUAAACAAAAAAAUCAUACACAUUAAAGUGCCAUUAUUAAAUUUAAAAUGUAUGUACCAAGCUGUCUUUGUUUUGUUGGAUUAGACUCUUUUGUUUUACUUGAAUGCUACAACUUGAUAACUGUUUGCUUGUACCUGACGACUAUCACACCACUUUCUUUACGGAGAUGGUCAUGUAUGUCUGCGUGUGUGAAUUGAUUUAUGUGGGAGAUGUCUGUAAGAUUUAUUGGAUUUAAUAUGUGAGAAUGCAAGGCUGAUUCAUAAAGGGAAUCAACUUGCAUUCUCCUGAAUAGAACAAAAUAUACACAUUUUUAUAGUUUCGCUAAACGAUUUGAAGAUUUUGUAGAAUUAACAUUUUGCUCCACCUUUAUCUCAUCAAAUAUACAAGCUGACUUUCUGCUUUUAAUUAAAUAUUUCUCGGGCAAGCAGAAAUAUUUUUGUUCCCAUGCGCUGCAUUUUGCUCUUGUAUUUGAAAAUGCUACAAUUUUUAAGUGGAGCUGUAC